UUAUUGGAGAGUUUGAUCCUGGCUCAGGACGAACGCUGGCGGCGUGCCUAAUACAUGCAAGUCGAGCGGAUCUCACCUUC
rfam:Bacillus xerothermodurans strain ATCC 27380 scaffold_14, whole genome shotgun sequence.